rnacentral:rRNA from 1 species
GUGGGGAAUCUUGCGCAAUGGGCGAAAGCCUGACGCAGCAACGCCGCGUGCGGGAUGAAGGCCUUCGGGUUGUAAACCGCUUUCAGCAGGGACGAAAAUGACGGUGCCUGCAGAAGAAGCUCCGGCUAACUACGUGCCAGCAGCCGCGGGAAUACGUAGGGAGCAAGCGUUGUCCGGAUUUAUUGGGCGUAAAGAGCUCGUAGGCGGUUUCGUAAGUCGAGUGUGAAAAAUCUGGGCUUAACCCAGUGGAGCACUCGAUACUGCGAUGACUUGAGUCUGGUAGAGGAGUGUGGAAUUCCUGGUGUAGCGGUGAAAUGCGCAGAUAUCAGGAGGAACACCAACGGCGAAGGCAGCACUCUGGGCCAGUACUGACGCUGAGGAGCGAAAGCGUGGGGAGCAAACAGGAUUAGAUACCCUAGUAGUCC